rnacentral:rRNA from 1 species
CCUACGGGUGGCUGCAGUGGGGAAUAUUGGGCAAUGGGCGCAAGCCUGACCCAGCAACGCCGCGUGAAGGAAGAAGGCUUUCGGGUUGUAAACUUCUUUUGUCAGUGAAGAGUAGAAGACGGUACCUGACGAAUAAGCCACGGCUAACUACGUGCCAGCAGCCCCGGUAAUACGUAGGUGGCAACCGUUGUCCGGAUUUACUGGGUGUAAAGGGGGCGCAGACGGCAAUGCAAGCCAGGAGUGAAACCCCGGGGCCCAACCCCGAGACUGCUCUUGGAACUGGAUGGCUGGAGUACAGGAGGGGCAGGCGGAAUUCCUAGUGUAGCGGUGAAAUGCGUAGAUAGUAGGAGGAACACCGGUGGCGAAGGCGGCCUGCUGGACUGUGACUGACGUUGAGGCCCGAAGGCGUGGGGAGCAAACAGGAUUAGAUACCCGGGUAGUC